GGGCAAUUAGUUCAGUGGAAGAAUAAGUGACUUCUAAUCACUCGGUCAGAGGUUCAAAUCCUCUAUUGCCCUUCA
rnacentral:tRNA from 1 species